UUCUCUGUGGACUUCAAGUGUUCAGAGAAAUACAUCGCUAGCUCGCGGGCAGUUGGCUGCCGCGAAUAUAUCAUGUUAUUACUUUAAACAGUUCAGAAACAUCUGAAUUUAGCUCUUGGUGUGCUCUAACGUGUGGAUUGCGUGCAAUCGCCGUUUUAAAAGGUCUUAAAUAAGAAUAAAUUCGCUCGUUGUGAGCUCUAAGAGACAAUGCCUCCAGCAGCUGACCAGCCGUGAUUCUUCUCUCGUCUGACUGGUCUCUGCCCAGAAAUAAAUUAUUAAUGAGCCCUGACCCCUGUAAUCAGAUAUGUUGGUUUAGCUUGUCAGUUUGAGGGAAAUUGUAUUAUUUACUUGUAUUUUUAACCAAUGUAAAAGUGAAAGUAAACAAAACUCCGGGUAUUGCAACCAGUAGGGGCGCGAUUUUUCUCAGACAAUGGAAGUCUAUGGGUAAUGAGUUUUUACAUUUAAAAAUUAAUAAAAAAAAAACUUUAAGUCUGAUCAUUCUGAAAAGAUAUAGCAACCUGCACCGCUCUAUCCCGCAGGUGUCUGCCGAGUUUGGGGCUUGUGGCUUUAAAGCCCUAGGAGGAGUAGCGUUUAGAAUUUCUGUCAGAAAAAUAAUAAUAAGAAAAAGAGGAAAAAGAAGAAGUUUAAAUAGCAUAACAGUAUGUUGGCUUGUUGCCAAGCCAACAUAAUAAUAAUAAGUUUAAAUAGAAUAUCAGUAAGUUGGCUCUCUCAAGCCAACUUAACUAGAAUUAAAAGUUAGUGAACUAACUUUGAUGUUGGCUUGGCCAUCUUGGCCAUGGAGCAAACGAGCCAAAGUACUUGUGUGCCCAACAUUGAGUUGCCCCGCUGCAAAAUUAAUACACAUAAUAAUGCCAUAAAAAAAUACACCUGCAACAGUCUUUUUCCAUGCUCCCUUGCUGUUUUCUUUUUUUAAUAAAAAGCCUGGGCUAUGAUAACAGCUAUGACAGGGUUGUCUAGCUGGAUGUGAAAUAA